GCCUACGGGGCGCAGCAGUGAGGAAUAUUGGUCAAUGGGCGAGAGCCUGAACCAGCCAAGUCGCGUGAGGGAGUACUGCCCUAUGGGUUGUAAACCUCUUUUGUCGGGGAGCAAAAGCCGGACGUGUCCGGCUGUGAGAGUACCCGAAGAAAAAGCAUCGGCUAACUCCGUGCCAGCAGCCGCGGUAAUACGUAUGGAGCAAGCGUUAUCCGGAUUUACUGGGUGUAAAGGGAGCGUAGGCGGUAAGGCAAGUCUGAUGUGAAAGGCCAGGGCUCAACCCUGGGACUGCAUUGGAAACUGUUUAA
rnacentral:rRNA from 1 species